ACUGAACACCAAAGAACAAGAUUAACUAUGCAAAUUAUUAACAAUAUAAAUAGCCAUAAAUAGCCAAAGCUAUAACACUUGUGUUUUCUUUGUAACAAAAUACUGUUGAAAAACAAACAGAACUAAACUCCACUGUGGAGAUGAUUGGAGCAUGUUGAAAAUUCUUCUUCAAUCAAGUUCUCUUACAUUUACAAAGUAAAUGAAAUGGCUAGUGUUUCACACUGAGGUAACUGAGGCUUACUGCCUGUGCUGCAAACCACACAUCAAAAGAGGAGGCUUGCUCUCUGUGCUGUGACAAUGUCACCUGCAGUGACCAGCUUGUGUAAGGGCAGCUGUAGCAUCACCUGUUUCUCCUUCAACACAGCUGCAGCUGUUGUGCUGCGGUGGAAAAACGUGACAACUGUCCUCACUCUGCCGAGGAGUCGGGACGUCUGGUGAACGCCCAUCGCUCUCUGCGCAGCCAGAUUAACGUAUAUGCGGUGAAAAUCCGGCCGCUUCGACAGCAUUGGCAAUGUUUCUGCCGUUAUCUGUUGUCACUUAAAGCACUUACAGCAAAUUGUGUGGGUCUUGUCGACUACACGAUUGCCGUCCUUUAGCUCCACCAUGUAGCCCAAAUGUUGCCAUACUGCUGACUGACAUGAAGAGGGAGGAUCCGCUAUUUCUGGGUUGGUUGCCAUGUUUCCUCACGUUCUUCUUCAACUAGCUCAACUUUUGCAGGCAGGCGUCACAUGAUUCAUUGGAUCUGAACGGGAGGGAUCACUCUGGGAGUUGGAAGGGUUUUCUCUCGUGUGAUCACUGGACUGAAC